CCAACAGAUGGAGUAUCGCGCUCACGGGAAAGCCCCCCAGAAGGGAGCGAGAGGCCAGAAGGCUGGGGGAGGGGGCGGGUUAUGGAAGGCUCUGAACACCAAGCGGAACAUUUUGUGUUCCUCCUGGAGGUGAUGGGCAGCCACGGGAGCUUAAUGGAGGCUACGGGUGCUAUGGCCACAUCGGCACUUGGGAAAAUUAUUUUGGCAGUUGGAUGGAGGAUGGGCAAGAAUGUAUAACCGGGGUGGUUACAAAUCUAAGCCAUAAGAAUAUGUGAUUUAAACAUUUUUUUAUUGAGGCCGGGGGGGAGGAAACCCCUCAAGCUCUUGUAAUGGCCCAGGGGUCAAGGGACGGGAACGUGGGGUAGGGGAAGCGUCAGAGGAGAGAAGGGAGCUCGUGGGACUGUGAGCGUGAAGAGAACGGGGAGGGGGCGGUGUCCUUACAGUAACAGUGAAGUCUGGAAAAGGGGAGAAUUGGGGGGUUUGUUCAGGAGGGUUGUAUUCUGGACAUCCUAGGUUUAAGAGGUCUGUAGAUAUCCAGUGGAUUUUUUGUUCAGGGGGGUUGUAUUCUGGACAUCCUAGGUUUAAGAGGUCUAUAGAUAUCCAGUGGAUUUUUUGUUCAGGGGGGUUGUAUUCUGGACAUCCUAGGUUUAAGAGGUCUGUAGAUAUCCAGUGGAUUUUUUGUUCAGGGGGGUUGUAUUUUGGACAUCCUAGGUUUAAGAGGUCUGUAGAUAACCAGUGGAUUUUUUGUUCAGGGGGAGUUGUAUUUUGGACAUCCUAGGUUUAAGAGGUCUGUAGAUAUCCAGUGGAUUUUUUGUUCAGAGGAGUUGUAUUUUGGACAUCCUAGGUUUAAGAGGUCUGUAGAUAUCCAGUGGAUUUUUUGUUCAGAGGAGUUGUAUUUUGGACAUCCUAGGUUUAAGAGGUCUGUAGAUAUCCAGUGGAUUUUUUGUUCAGGGGGGUUGUAUUUUGGACA